rnacentral:rRNA from 1 species
ACUCCUACGGGAGGCAGCAGUGAGGAAUAUUGGACAAUGGAUGGAAAUCUGAUCCAGCCAUGCCGCGUGCAGGAAGACGGCCCUAUGGGUUGUAAACUGCUUUUAUACGGGAGCAAUAAGGUCUAUGCAUAGAUUGAUGAGAGUACCGUAUGAAUAAGCAUCGGCUAACUCCGUGCCAGCAGCCGCGGUAAUACGGAGGAUGCGAGCGUUAUCCGGAUUUAUUGGGUUUAAAGGGUGCGUAGGCGGCUUUGUAAGUCAGCGGUGAAAUUUUGCAGCUUAACUGUAAAAGCGCCGUUGAUACUGUGAAGCUAGGAUUUGGUUGCUGUGGGCGGAAUGUGUGGUGUAGCGGUGAAAUGCAUAGAGAUCACACAGAAUAUCGAUUGCGAAGGCAGCUCACAAAGCCAAUAUUGACGCUGAGGCACGAAAGUGUGGGGAUCAAACAGGAUUAGAUACCCUGGUAGUC